CCUACGGGAGGCAGCAGUAAGGAAUAUUGGUCAAUGGACGCAAGUCUGAACCAGCCAUGCCGCGUGAAGGAUUAAGGUCCUCUGGAUUGUAAACUUCUUUUAUAUGGGACGAAAACAGAUCUUUCUAGGUCCUUUGACGGUACCAUAUGAAUAAGCACCGGCUAACUCCGUGCCAGCAGCCGCGGUAAUACGGAGGGUGCAAGCGUUAUCCGGAUUCACUGGGUUUAAAGGGUGCGUAGGCGGGUAGGUAAGUCAGUGGUGAAAUCCUGGAGCUCAACUCCAGAACUGCCAUUGAUACUAUCUAUCUUGAAUAUUGUGGAGGUAAGCGGAAUAUGUCAUGUAGCGGUGAAAUGCUUAGAUAUGACAUAGAACACCCAUUGCGAAGGCAGCUUACUACGCAUAUAUUGACGCUGAGGCACGAAAGCGUGGGGAUCAAACAGGAUUAGAUACCCUGGUAGUCCACGCCCUAAACGAUGGAUACUCGACAUACGCGAUACACAGUGUGUGUCUGAGCGAAAGCAUUAAGUAUCCCACCUGGAAGUACGUUCGCAAGAAUGAAACUCAAAGGAAUUAGACGG
rnacentral:rRNA from 1 species